rnacentral:tRNA from 1 species
AUUACUUUGGCAGAAAAUGCGUUAGGUUUAGGACCUAAUUAUAUAGAUAAAUUCUAUAAGUAAU